CGAAAGGAGGCUGCCGCCUGUCCCCUCUCUCUGCCACCCUGGGCCCGAACCAGUCCCCACCCAGCAGCUUAGAGGUGCUUUAAUGGGCAAAAUGGAGGCAACUUCUUGCCCGGGAAACCCCGCCCCGGCAAGUUUGCAGCUGCCCUUUGCUCUACGCAGCCGUUUCGGCAGAGGCAGUUCCCCGGAUGACCGACAGAUGGCGCUAAACCUUCACUAUAGCCUUCCUGUUCUCCUGAGACUCUUCAGGGCCCUGACUGAUACAGGAGGAGUGCCUGCCAUGAGCUGUACCUGCUUAGGAUCCAGAGGAGAUCGGAAGGAGUGCUAGCGUUUGGAAGUCCAUGGGCACAAAUCACCCAAAAGUGAUGAACACCCCUCCCCAACCUGAGAGCGAGCCAAAGAACCAUCCAUUUCUUGCUCUGCUCUCAUAUGCCCAUUGAAGAGGCUCUCUGAGCUCAGAGAAGUCUGAGAAUCCAGCCAUUCAAAGGCUGA